GUUUGGUUCUUGGUGCUGUCCGACUGUGGUCUUGGUUCCAGAUCGAGAUCGAAUAAAAAGACUAAAAUAAUCUUGAAUUUAACUGGUGAACGGAGAGGAUGACCUAAUGAGUACCAUCCUUAUAUUUUGUUUUUUUGAUUUUGGGACUGGUGAAUCACGGAGACCAAACCCGUAAUUUGCUGAUAUUAUUCUAUCAGAAAAUCAGCAAUAAGAUAUUGGAAUCGAUAUGACCAUCCCAAGUAUAAUUUCCGAGAUUUCUAUAAUGGAAUCGAAUACGAUCAUCCGAAAAUCAUGCCGUUGGAGAUCAGCUCAGCAUAAUCAACUAAUACAAGGACCAACCCAUAACUCCAUUUGAAGUUAUUCAAUAAUUAUCAUCUUUCUUUUCAAAUUGGCGAAGUUAGGGUUUGAAUGCGUUUUCUAUUCAUCUUCCUCAGGUUUACGGCAGCGCGUACGAUCAACAUCCAGUUUAUCUACUUAUUUAUAUAAUAUGGUUUGUCAGGUUAUUCGCUAAUUUCUUGUUGUUUGGGAUAUCGACAGCAAGACAGAUGAUCGUUGACACUUGACAGUGAACCUGGUCUCUCCAAAAUGAGAUGUGCGAUUUUAUGAAUCAAGGGGAUUUGAUGUAUCACAACCUCAUUGAUACAUAUAACUCCCUCCUUCCUGUUGAUUUAAUCUCACAGGUUCUUCAAAACCCUAGAAUAUGGAGGUAUGCUCUUCAAAACAAUAUUGAUUUCUAUUUCAAUUUUGAUUUCUGCAACCAGAUGAGAUUUUAACUUCCUUUCUCUUCUUUUUGGUUUAACCGAUUGAUGAAGCAAGGCUAUUUACAACUUAGAGAUCACGAACUGCUGUUGCUCCUUUGGAACGAUGGAGAAUUCUUCUCCAGGUGGGUACUUUAUCUAAUUUCUUUUCUUUUGGUUCCAUUUGCAAGUAAACACAUAUUCUGUCAUAUUCCCAUUUGCAAGUAAACACAUUUUGUUCAACUUGCUUAAAAAUACCACUUGAUGUACAUUGCUGAAAUUUGAAAAUCAUGGACAAGCGUUACAGAUCAGGAGUUGGAAUGUUAAUAAUCUUAAAGGUGUAUAAGGAAUUAAAAAUCUUCAACAUGAGAUAAAAGAAUCAUGACAAACCAAGCAACAGUGUUUAAAUUUUAACUAUGCAAAAGUGACCCCUUCAAUUUUAUGCAGUAGGAAAUCUCACAAGGAGGAAAGAAAGGUYGACUAUGACUGUAAGAGAAAUUCRUAAGUAGUAUUUUACUYGAUGUUGAGGGUCUUGUUGACCUUAAUCUUUAUGGCACCCUUUGUUGCAAACUUGCAAUUGUGGACCAGUUACUUCCAA